rnacentral:rRNA from 1 species
UACAGAGGGUGCGAGCGUUAAUCGGAAUUACUGGGCGUAAAGCGUGCGUAGACGGUUUAUGUAAGUCGGAUGUGAAAGCCCCCGGGCUCAACCUGGGAAUUGCAUUCGAGACUGCAUAGCUAGGAUGCGGAAGAGGGAAAGUGGAAUUUCCGGUGUAGCGGUGAAAUGCGCAGAUAUCAGGAGGAACACCGGUGGCGAAGGCGGGGUCUCUGGGCCGAUACUGACGCUGAGGAGCGAAAGCGUGGGGAGCGAACAGG